rnacentral:rRNA from 1 species
AGCGAACGCUGGCGGCAGGCCUAAUACAUGCAAGUCGAACGAAGUCUUCGGACUUAGUGGCGGACGGGUGAGUAACACGUGGGAACGUGUCUUUAGGUUCGGAUUAACUCAGGGAAACUUGUGCUAAUACCGAAUGUGCCUUUCGGGAGAAAGAUUUAUCGCCUUUAGAGCGGCCCGCGUCUGAUUAGCUAGUCGGUGAGGUAAAGGCUCACCAAGGCUACGAUCAGUAGCUGGUCUGAGAGGAUGAUCAGCCACAUUGGGACUGAGACACGGCCCAAACUCCUACGGGAGGCAGCAGUGGGGAAUCUUGCGCAAUGGGCGAAAGCCUGACGCAGCCAUGCCGCGUGAAUGAUGAAGGUCUUAGGAUUGUAAAACUCUUUCACCGGGGACGAUAAUGACGGUACCCGGAGAAGAAGCCCCGGCUAACUUCGUGCCAGCCGCCGCCGUAACAC